AACAUCCCUGAAGAAUUUUCAAGCCACGCAAUUUGAUCAUCAUGCUCUGGAAUAGGCACAAAAAUUGCAAGUGUAGCCUGUUGCAAUAUUUUGGAAAAUCCACUAAAUAGUGUCCCUAACAUCGUUUGUCGGCCUAGUAUAAAGAUUAUGUUCUUGAGUAUUCCUAAUGGAUAAGAGCAGCCAAAAUAAAUUAUAUAUUUUAGUGCAAAGUACUUCAAGAAUUUUCCAGUACAUAAUCAACAAAAGUGAAGUACAUAUACAAUACCAAAAAUAGGAAUUGAAUCCUGAGUUUUGUGACAUAAUAGUUGAUCAAGUAAAUUAGCUUUCUGCACUGGUUUUCUCUCAUGGCAUUCAAGUUCUUACCCAGAAAAGAAAAAGAAAAAAAACUGAAAUAGACAAAUUGCUCUUCAAAGAAAAAUUGAACAAUAAAAAUAAAACUACCAAAAAUUGCAGACCUCAAGAAUCAUACAAUCUGUCAAACGCCAAGUAAUAAACAAAUAAAUGAAAAAAAAAUGAAACUAACCUGGACGAUGUCUUGAGAGUUAAGAUUUGUGAGAUUAAUCCAAUCUUUUGCAAGAAAAAAUAGAGAAUUGAAGUUGAGAAACCCCAUAUUUAAGAAGCCCG
rnacentral:lncRNA from 1 species